rnacentral:tRNA from 1 species
GAAGGUAUAGCUUAGUGGUAAAGUGCAUGCCUAGCAUGCACAAGGUCUUGGGUUCAAUUCCUAGUGCCUCUG